rnacentral:rRNA from 1 species
GACGAACGCUGGCGGCGUGCCUAAUACAUGCAAGUCGAGCGGACGGAUGGGAGCUUGCUCCCAGACCGUCAGCGGCGGACGGGUGAGUAACCCGUGGGCAACCUGCCUGUAAGACUGGGAUAACUCCGGGAAACCGGGGCUAAUACCGGAUAACUCUUUCCCUCACAUUAGGGAAAGCUGAAAGAUGGCAUCUCGCUAUCACUUACAGAUGGGCCCGCGGCGCAUUAGCUAGUUGGUGAGGUAACGGCUCACCAAGGCGACGAUGCGUAGCCGACCUGGGAGGGUGAUCGGCCACACUGGGACUGAGACACGGCACAGACUCCUACGGGAGGCAGCAGUAGGGAAUCUUCCGCAAUGGACGAAAGUCUGACGGAGCAACGCCGCGUGAGUGAUGAAGGUUUUCGGAUCGUAAAACUCUGUUGUCAGGGAAGAACAAGUACCGGAGUAACUGCCGGUACCUUGACGGUACCUGACCAGAAAGCCACGGCUAACUACGUG